CAGGGAAUCUUCCGCAAUGGACGCAAGUCUGACGGAGCAACGCCGCGUGAGUGAAGAAGGAUUUCGGUUCGUAAAACUCUGUUGUUAGAGAAGAACAGCGCAUAGAGUAACUGUUAUGCGUGUGACGGUAUCUAACCAGAAAGCCACGGCUAACUACGUGCCAGCAGCCGCGGUAAUACGUAGGUGGCAAGCGUUGUCCGGAUUUAUUGGGCGUAAAGCGAGCGCAGGCGGUCAAUUAAGUCUGAUGUGAAAGCCCCCGGCUCAACCGGGGAGGGUCGUUGGAAACUGGUUGACUUGAGUGCAGAAGAGGAGGGUGGAAUUCCAGGUGUAGCGGUGAAAUGCGUAGAUAUAUGGAGGAACACCAGUGGCGAAGGCGACUCUCUAGUCUGUAACUGACGCUGAGGCUCGAAAGCGUGGGUAGCAAACAGG
rnacentral:rRNA from 1 species